GAUGAACGCUGACAGAAUGCUUAACACAUGCAAGUCUUUGGCGAAGCUGCGCUUGCGCAGACGAGCCAAGGCGGACGGGUGAGUAACGCGUAAGGAACUUGCCCUGCAGACAGGGAUAACAGACGGAAACGACUGACAAGACCUGAUACAGUUGCCGGCACGCAUGUGCCUGGCGAUGAAAGGAGACGCUGCAGGAGAGCCUUGCGUCCUAUUAGCUUGUUGGCGGGGUAAUGGCCCACCAAGGCGAUGAUAGGUAGCCGGCCUGAGAGGGUGGACGGCCACAAGGGGACUGAGAUACGGCCCUUACUCCUACGGGAGGCAGCAGUGGGGAAUAUUGGACAAUGGGGGCAACCCUGAUCCAGCAAUUCUGUGUGCACGAAGAAGGUUUUCGGAUUGUAAAGUGCUUUCAGCAGGGAAGAAGAAAGUGACGGACCUGCAGAAGAAGCGCG
rnacentral:rRNA from 1 species